UCUGAUCCGCCGCCUCAUACAGACCUGCACCAGUCUGGAGAGGAUCAGGCUGUGGGGGAAUGGGUUCAGUUCAGACGGAGAGAAUCAGCUGCAGUCACUGCGGGGAAUCAGAUCUGGGCUGUCAGUGACAGUGAGAUUUGGACUGAGUCAGAGACCGACCACACAGUCUGUGUAACAUGAAAUGUAUUCUAGACACUGUAGUAAUUGAUUAUUAAAGAUGAUAAUCCUGA